rnacentral:lncRNA from 1 species
UCGUCGUGUCUGCAGCUGCACAGCGGCGGAGCGGUGUCUCCUGUGCUUGAGUUGUGAGUUCUUUUAGUUCAAUUCCUCACAUGUUCAGCUGUAAGGUUUUGCUAGGGUAUUAGGUUAUAAAUUUUAGGGUUAUGAAUGAAUUAUGAUUGCUUGUGUUUAGUGCAUUUAAACUGUUGAAUUAGUUUAUGUAUAGUACCCAGUGAUGAGGAUCUCCCAAUAAUUGAUAGGAAGUGCCGUAUGACACACUAAAAAGCAGCUCCGUUUCAGAGAAUGAUCUGAUCAGCCGAUAUCAUUUGUUGAUAUUGGUCUGAGAUCAUUUCUCUGCGGAGCUGUGUGUGAGAUUUGAAACGGGUCCCCUGAGGGUUUUUUAUAACUUCAUCAUUUCUUUUUCUUAAUUUAUUGUUGUAAUUUGGUCCGAUGCCACGUCUAUGGUAGCUAAACAUGAGCUCUGACCAAAGAUGCUAUGAUUGGACCAAAAUCAAGAGUGCUUGUCAAUUGUUUCGCAUUUUGAUAGGAAUCUGUUGAUCUUAUAUACGAUGAUUUUGCAGAGCCGAUUUGUGCGAUUACAUUUUCUAUUAUUUUAUAAAUUUGUUUUGUUUUUGCGGUCAUUGAUUGUGUUGUUUUUGUGAAGCCUAUGAUGAUAAAACAUAUCUGGAAUUACCGUCUGAAUAGAUUUAUUCUUUGAUGUAAAUUUCUUGGCUGUGGUACUGAGGCUUCUGUAUUUUUAAUUCAUUUUCAUUUUCACUUGUUUUCUUUGAAAGAAAUACUGAUCCAAAGAACAAUCUCAUCUGUCGAUGCCACCAUUUGUUGUUGUUGGUCGAGAUCAUUCAGUCUCUCGAGGGUUUUUUCUUAUACAUUAAUUUUUGUUAUUGGGUCUGAUGCCACGUCUUUGAUAGCUACAUAUAUUUGAGCUCUGAUCAAAGAUGCUAUGAUUGGACCAAAAUCAAGAGUGUUAAUCAUUUGUUUCGCAUUCUGAUAGGAAUCUGCUGAUCUUAUAUAUAAUGAUCCUGCAGAGCCGAUUUGUGCGAUUACAUUUCUAUAUAUUAUAAUAUUAAUUUUUUUUUUCUUCAAUUUUGUUGAUUUUUGUUUUAGUGAAGCCGAUGAUGAUGAAACUUGAACUGGAAUUACCGUCUGAAUAGAUUUAUUCUUUGAUGUAAAUUUCUUGGCUGUGGUACUGAGGCUUUGC